rnacentral:rRNA from 1 species
ACGGGUGAGUAACACGUGGGUAACCUACCUAUAAGACUGGAAUAACUCCGGGAAACCGGGGCUAAUGCCGGAUAACAUGUUGAACCGCAUGGUUCUACAGUGAAAGACGGUCUUGCUGUCACUUAUAGAUGGACCCGCGCCGUAUUAGCUAGUUGGUGGGGUAACGGCCUACCAAGGCGACGAUACGUAGCCGACCUGAGAGGGUGAUCGGCCACACUGGAACUGAGACACGGUCCAGACUCCUACGGGAGGCAGCAGUAGGGAAUCUUCCGCAAUGGGCGAAAGCCUGACGGAGCAACGCCGCGUGAGUGAUGAAGGUCUUCGGAUCGUAAAGCUCUGUUGUUAGGGAAGAACAAAUGUGUAAGUAACUGUGCACAUCUUGACGGUACCUAACCAGAAAGCCACGGCUAACUACGUGCCAGCAGCCG